AGGGCGGGAUCCCUUCGUCUGGCAUCCCUCCCAAUGGCAUCACCUCCCUCUAGCAUCCCCUUCCCUGGGGCACGCUCCCCUGGGGAGGGUCGAUGGGCCCCUAUUUGGAUUCAGCGCAGGCCUUGUGGCGUAUGUCUGAGCAUGGAUCUGUGCAAGGAUGUGAAAAUGAAUAGCGGAAGACAAACUACUGAACUUCUUUUGCAAGACACAAGUCUCAGGAGUCACAUGCUCUGCCUUAGAACUAUGCCGACACUUCUCUGAGCCCUAAGAAGCUGCAAGGACAUUUGCUGUAGCACAGGAACAGAAGAAGCUUUGAUGAUUGAAAAUGAAGUUUGCAUAGCAUCAUGCUGAAGCAACUCCCUGUUUAAUUAAACAGUUCCAUUGGUCAGAACUUAAGUCCUUUAGCAAUUGAAUUUCUUGAAUGUCAUCAAAAGAAGUCAAACCCAGAUGUGGACUGUGCCUGCUCAGUAUGUCAGAAGUGGAACCAGCUUUCUGUAGUUUCCCAUACUGCAGUGAGAGAAGGAUUAUAAACUAAGGUAUGAAAGUUGAGCACUGUCAGGAGGCAAAACCAGUCAACUGGAGAAUCAGCUGAGGUGCCUGUCAUCAUUAAACGUCUAUCUAUGCCUUGUUAAAGCAUUUGGCAACACAGACUGUGGCUGAAUGGAGCUGCUCAGAAAUGGAUAUAGAUGGCUAUAGGUGCUUCAUCAGGAUAGAAAUCCAAAAGCUCCGUCAAGAAAAGACAAAGCUGCAUCUCAGUGAAAUCAGUCAGCAUUCCUUCUGAACUCUGCCAAGAUUUCUGAGGCACCUCAACAGCUUUGCCUUAUCUUGUGUGUCCUAUUCCUCUGGAUAACUGUUUUCUGCUUUAUGCUAAACAUGCCUUAUGUGUUGAGAAAUGCUGUUGAUCUGGCAUGGUGCCUGAAAACUUUUGCAGAUGGGCAGGAAUGUUUUAUUCUGAUAAAGAAAGGGCUGCAGACGCAAAUAUUGCAAUUCUCAAGAAAAAGGGAGGAGAAUAUCUGGUGGAAUGGGAACAACCCUUCUUUUCUCACAGACAAGGCACCAGCUUUACCCACUAUUUCGUCUGCGAGAAGGACCUAACCUUCAGCUCAGUGGUUUAUCAUCUACAUGAGUAACUUUUACGAGAGACAGUGAACUUAUCUGAUGUUAGUCAUUUGAUUGCAGCGAUUGCUGCUGCUUCAAAUCUGUUGAUCCUGACAUUUUGGCAACAUCUGUGCACAACUUGCUCUGUUACAGCUCCAGUACUGUCACUUUCCUUCUCUCCACCAAUGUUUCGAUUUGAUGCAGUGUCUGUGCAGCACUGUGAAAUCUGUCACCUUUAUGUAACACAGCAAUGUUACAAAAAGCAAAUCUUUUUCAAUUUAUACUUGGAAAUUUCAGUCUUUAUUUAACAGGAUUCACUCCACAGGGGCCUAUUCACAUUAGGCAUGAAUGUGGUCUGAGAGGAAAUAAAGACUGUAAUAUUAAGCCCUGA